GACGAACGCUGGCGGCGUGCUUAACACAUGCAAGUCGAGCGGUAAGGCCCUUUCGGGGGUACACGAGCGGCGAACGGGUGAGUAACACGUGGGUGACCUGCCCUCAGCUCUGGGAUAAGCCUGGGAAACUGGGUCUAAUACUGGAUAUGACUCCACGGUGCAUGUCGUGGGGUGGAAAGCCUUGUGCGGCUGAGGAUGGGCCCGCGGCCUAUCAGCUUGUUGGUGGGGUGANGGGCCUACCAAGGCGACGACGGGUAGCCGGCCUGAGAGGGCGACCGGCCACACUGGGACUGAGACACGGCCCAGACUCCUACGGGAGGCAGCAGUGGGGAAUCUUGCGCAAUGGGCGAAAGCCUGACGCAGCGACGCCGCGUGAGGGAUGACGGCCUGGUGUAAC
rnacentral:rRNA from 1 species